UUGCAGUGAUGUAUGAAUUUCUUCAACUGAUCAAUUGUGAAGAUUAAAAAUGAGCUUUUUAACCCUGAGCAAU